GGCGGCAUGCCUUACACAUGCAAGUCGAACGGCAGCACGGGAGCAAUCCUGGUGGCGAGUGGCGAACGGGUGAGUAAUAUAUCGGAACGUGCCCAGUCGUGGGGGAUAACGCAGCGAAAGCUGUGCUAAUACCGCAUACGAUCUCUGGAUGAAAGCGGGGGACUCGUAAGAGCCUCGCGCGAUUGGAGCGGCCGAUAUCAGAUUAGCUAGUUGGUGGGGUAAAGGCCCACCAAGGCGACGAUCUGUAGCUGGUCUGAGAGGACGACCAGCCACACUGGAACUGAGACACGGUCCAGACUCCUACGGGAGGCAGCAGUGGGGAAUUUUGGACAAUGGGCGCAAGCCUGAUCCAGCAAUGCCGCGUGCAGGAUGAAGGCCUUCGGGUUGUAAACUGCUUUUGUACGGAACGAAACGGUCUGCCCUAAUACGGUGGGCUAAUGACGGUACCGUAAGAAUAAGCACCGGCUAACUACGUGCCAGCAGCCGCGGUAAUACGUAGGGUGCGAGCGUUAAUCGGAAUUACUGGGCGUAAAGCGUGCGCAGGCGGUUAUGU
rnacentral:rRNA from 1 species